rnacentral:rRNA from 1 species
GAUGAACGCUGGCGGCGUGCUUAACACAUGCAAGUCGAACGGUGAAGGCGGAGCUUGCUCUGCUGGUCAGUGGCGAACGGGUGAGGAACACGUGAGCAAUCUGCCCCUGACUCUGGGAUAAGCGCUGGAAACGGCGGCUAAUACUGGAAACGAGCUGCGAAGGCAUCUUCAACAGCUGGAAAGAACUUCGGUCAGGGAUGAGCUCGCGGCCUAUCAGCUUGUUGGUGAGGUAACGGCUCACCAAGGCGUCGACGGGUAGCCGGCCUGAGAGGGUGACCGGCCACACUGGGACUGAGACACGGCCCAGACUCCUACGGGAGGCAGCAGUGGGGAAUAUUGCACAAUGGGCGAAAGCCUGAUGCAGCAACGCCGCGUGAGGGACGACGGCCUUCGGGUUGUAAACCUCUUUUAGCAGGGAAGAAGCGAAAGUGACGGUACCUGCAGAAAAAGCGCCGGCUAACUACGUG